AAGGUUCCUCAAUGGUUCCUCCUCAAAGGUUCCUCCUCAACCUUCCAGAAGGUUCCUCAACCUCCUCUAAGGUUUCUCCUCAAAGCUCUCUCCUCAAAGGUCUCUCAUCAACCUCCUCAAUGGUUCCUCCUCAAAAGUUCCUCCUCAACCUUCUAGAAGGUUCCUCAAUCUCCCUGAAGGUUUCUCCUCAACCUCCUCUAAGGUUUCUCCUCAAAAGUCUCUCCUCAAUGUCCCCAAAGGUUUCUCCUCAACUUCCUCAAUGGUUCCUCCUCUAAGGUUUCUCCUCAACGUUCUCAAAGGUUUCUCCUCAACGUCCUCUGAAGGUUUCUGCUCAACCUUCUAAAAGGUUCCUCGAAGGUUCCUCCUCAAUAGUUCCUCCUCAACCUUCCAGAAGGUUCCUCAACUUCCUCAAAGGUCUCUCCUCAACGUCCCCAAAGGUUUCUCCUCAACCUUCUAAAAGGUCUCUCCUCAACCUCCUCAAAGGUUCCUCCUCAAAGGUUUCUCCUCAACCUCCUCAAAGGCUUCUUCUCAACAUCCCCUGAAGGCUUCUCCUCAACCUUCCAGAAGGUUCCUCAACCUCCUCAAAGGUCUCUCCUCAACCUCCUCCAUGGUUCCUCCUCAACCUUCUAGAAGGUUCCUCAACCUCCCUGAAGGUUUCUCCUCAGAGGUCUCUCCUCAACCCCCUCAAAGGUUCCUCCUCAAAGGCUUCUCCUCAACCUUCCAGAAGGUUCCUCAACCUCCUCAAAGGUUUCUCCUCAACAUCCCCAAAGGUUCCUCCUCAACGUCCCCUGAAGGUUUCUGCUCAACCUUCUAAAAGGUUCCUCAAAGGUUCCUCCUCAACCUUCCAGAAGGUUCCUCAACUUCCUCAAAGGUUUCUCCUCAACCUUCUAAAAGGUCUCUCCUCAACCCCCUCAAAGGUCUCUCCUCAGCCUCCCCUGAAGGUUCCUUCUCAACCUUCCAGAAGGUUCCUCAACCUCCUCAAAGGUUUCUCCUCAACAUCCCCAAAAGUCUUUCCUCAACCUCCCCAGAGGUCUCUCCUCAAAGGUUUCUCCUCAAUGUCCUCAAACGUUUUUCCUCAACAUCCCCUGAAGGUUCCUCCUCAACCUUCCAGAAGGUUCCUCAACCUCCCCUGAAGGUCUCUCCUCAACCUCCUCAAAGGUUCCUCCUCAAAGGUCUCUCCUCAAACCUUCCAGAAGGUUCCUCAACCUCCUCAAAGGUUCCUCCUCAAAGGUUUCCUCUCAACCUCCUCAAAGGUUCCUUCUCAACCUUCCAGAAGGUUCCUCAGCCUCCUCAAAGAUCUCUCCUCGCACUCCCGAAGGUCCCUCCUCAAGGUCCCACCUCAACCUUCUCCCUUCUGAGCUCCGAGCGCUUCUUCUCGACCCAUCCCACCGCUCGCAGCCGUGUCCGGCGGCACCGGAGCCUCCCGAGGCCGUGUCCUCCUCCAGGACCUUCUCCACCCACCCUUUACAUUGAGAAGAAACCUUCUGGAGAGGUGACGAUGGAGUUCCACCACCUCCGAACAAAGACCUCACGGACCCAUUUCUACUGGUGAGGAACCUUCUCAAGACCUUCUGUCCCUCAACCCCUUUUCCACCCGGACGUUCCUCCAUCGUUCCAUGGAAUCGAAGUGGGACAACCCCAGAAGGGACCUCAGAGAC